CCUACGGGAGGCAGCAGUCGAGAAUCAUUCACAAUGGGGGAAACCCUGAUGGUGCGACGCCGCGUGGGGGAAUGAAGGUCUUCGGAUUGUAAACCCCUGUCAUGUGGGAGCAAAUUAAAAAGAUAGUACCACAAGAGGAAGAGACGGCUAACUCUGUGCCAGCAGCCGCGGUAAUACAGAGGUCUCAAGCGUUGUUCGGAAUCACUGGGCGUAAAGCGUGCGUAGGCUAUUUCGUAAGUCGUGUGUGAAAGGCGCGGGCUCAACCCGCGGACGGCACAUGAUACUGCGAGACUAGAGUAAGGGAGGGGGAACCGGAAUUCUCGGUGUAGCAGUGAAAUGCGUAGAUAUCGAGAGGAACACUCGUGGCGAAGGCGGGUUCCUGGACAUUAACUGACGCUGAGGCACGAAGGCCAGGGGAGCGAAAGGGAUUAGAUACCCCAGUAGUC
rnacentral:rRNA from 1 species